CAAAUCUUUGUUUGCUAGUGAUCCAAAGAUGGACUUGAGCACCAACCUAUCAAAGAAGCAGAUCGACGAUUUGUGCUGUGAAUUACAAGUGAAUCCUCUGUUCCAUGAGUGUACAUAACAUAUUGAAAUAGCUUGUCACAUAGUUCGAUAAGCGUUGCAAGCUGGAAUUAUUAGUCCAUCAUAUGUACCUACACACUUCCAGUUGACAUGUUUAUUUACAAAGGCAUUGACAAGGGAUCAGUUUGUGACACUAUGGAACAUGUUGGGACUUCAUGACAUUCACAGUCCAUCUGGAGGGGGAGCUAGUGUUUACAAUUAUCAUAUUAUCAUAUAUUCACUUUCCUAAUUAGUGUAAAUUAAAUCCCAUAUAAUAUGGAUCUUAGAUUUAGUGCCU